UUAACUCUCCACUUACCUCUGCAAAAACGAAGGGCGCAUCAAACUGGAAGCAGACAUGGCCGUGCUUGAUGGCUUGAACAGAGGCGGGGCCGCACCGAUACAUCCCUGAACCACACAGAGGAAGGAAAGUGAUAAUUGCUGUACCAGUUGCCACUUCUUCCUCCAGGGGACCUUCCCGACCCAGGGAUCAAACCCGUGUCUCUUUCAUCUCCUGCAUUACAGUGGCAGCUAGUAAUUUCCAGAACUCCUUUCAAGGAUGCUAUCAAUCAUGACUCAGUGGUGUAGGUGCAACAGACGCAGAGAUCUUCCCCUGAAGCAGAACCUCAGCAGCAAAGCAGCACCGCGCGCUGCUGGAAGGCCCUGGAAGGGACGUCACAGCACUGGCUUAUUUACCCUUCGAUUCGGUAAAGCCCUUUCCUCAGAGGUGUGCACGGGAAAUAAUCAGAGGCAAGACAUGUACACGAGGAUGUUCAUCCGUCCGUAAUUUUUAAGAAGGAAAACCAGAAACCAUCCAGUAUGCGAUUAAUUAUUUUAAAAUCACAAAAUAGAACAGUCUUCAGCCAUAAAAACCUGAUCUGUAUUUAUUAGGUAGGAAAAAUAACCAGGGCAUAUCUAUUUUUAAAAUCACACCACAGAACAGGCCGUACCGUGUCCCCUGUGGAUGUCCAUUUGUGUGGAAGGCAGAGUUUUCAAUGAGCCCCACUCCUGUAUGAAUCCCUCCCCCUUGAAUAUGGGUGAUGUCUAUGAAUCGGAUGGGUUGUCACUCCUGGGAUUAUAUUACUUUACCUGGCAAAGAGGAUUUUGCAGAUGUAAUUAAGCUAAUUAAUCUGCUGAUUUUGAGUUAAUUAAAAAGGAGAUUAUCAUGUGGACCUGACCUAAUCACGUGAGCCUUUAAAUCUGGGUCUAGAGGUCUGAGACAGAGCAAACCAGAGAUCUGAGGCAGCAGAUACAUUCCCCUGCUGGCCUGGAGGAAAAUGGCAACUUCUGCCAGGUCUGCAGCGGGAAGGAGCUGGAUCCUUCCAGCAACCUGAGUGAACUUGGAAGACAGCACCGAGCAUCAGAGGGGCCCACAGUUACCGCCUUGAUGGCCAUCAUUUGAGACCCUGGGCAGAGGACCAGCUUCACUGUGCCCAAACUCCUCACCUACAGAGACUGCUGGGUAAUACAUUUGUGCCGUUUUAGCUGCCAAGGUUCUGGUCAUUUGUUAUGCAACAAUAAAAAAUGAAUACAGUGUGCAA